CGCAGCAGUCGCCAAUUCCAACAGGAAAGCGCCUGAAAGCCACUGACUCCGCGUAGCCGGCGGAGGACCACUGUGACGAACUUGUGUCCUGCGUCAACAGUGUGUGGAACGUUGGCGACCUCGGCGCUCGAGCUGCACUCCGCUGGGCUCUUGGCAGCACCCUGUGCUCUGAGGGUGUCUUGCCCGCCGGGCGCCGUGGCUCACGCCUGUAAUCCCAACACUUUGGGAGGCUGAGGCGGGCGGAUCACUUGAGGUCAAGAGUUCAAGACCAGCCUGGCCAACAUGAUUCUACUCUAAAAGUCACCAGGAAAAAUUCAGCUCCACUGGUCCUGGCUCUAAGUCUACUAGCAAAAUCUUCCAGAGAAGUGGAAAAGCCAUCAGCCAAUGUGUUAGACUAUCAUUUCCAUGACCUUACACCUAUCAAAAAGGCACUAUUACCAGGCUUAUAGAAUUCUAAAAAAGUUGGAAACCAUUUUCCAUUAUAAAAGAAAUUCUUCCAAAUCACACAAAACACUCUGACACUUCUCCAAUUCCCCCUAUCAUGGGGCUGGCAGCAGCCGCUUUGCGUCCUGAAUGUCAUGACAGUGAUGAUAACAGUAAUGAUGAUAACAGCAAUGAUGAAGUCUCACAUUUAAAAUUUUCAAGUCACUCAUCACAUCCCAAGUCACUCCCUUCAUUACCUUUUAUUUAUACUGGAGUCAUCCUGUGUGCCUCAGUCAGACCAUUUUGUAUGUACAAUGACCGACAAUGAGAUUUAACAUGCAGUUUGCAGAUCCUCCCUUCUCUGGGUCACCUGAAAAUAAGCCACAAACAAAGGAAUGAAAUUGUUGAUGAAAAGGGAAGAGGCAAGACUCCAUAUGAAGAAUACAACUGACUCACCUGUCUGUACAUGCCUCUGUGUGUGUGUUUUAUAUUGGUGCUGGUGAAGAUAGUUCUUUAUGCUGAUGCUUAAUAAGGUGAAAUGUGUCUAUUUUCUUCCAUUGGCCCAGGCACAGAUGCGAUUAUAAUUGCUAAGAUUAUUUGCAUAUUGGCUUUUAAUGAUGCAUUUAAAAAUAUUCAUCCCAUUUACUGACUUAUGCAGGCAAUGUACUUUUGUAAAUGUGGGCCAGCAUCAUGCUUAAAUUCCCAAACCACUAUUUAUUUAAAACUCAUCACUUCAGUUUUUAUACCCUUUCUCCCCCAUAAGGGAAAAAAUAUGAUUCUGACUGUAUAAGCACCAACUAAACAGAACACAAAACAUGGCAGACGAUAAAAACAUAUUUUCACAAAUGAGACAUGUCAUUUUACCAUCGAGGAGAGAAACAAAAUAAGCUGGUUUUCAAGUUCCAUAUCUUGUGUGCUCCUUUCAGCUAAAUGCCCUUACAUCUGUAAGCCCUUGGGACAGGUUAAGGCUUUUAUUAUUAUUUUAAAGUCUUCAUAACUACAACCUAGCAUCCAAAGUGAAACAGAUGCUAUUGGAUAUGAGUAGCAUAUGCAAUGGAAAUAUUGACAUUGCCUUCCCGACAGUCAUGAGGGAUAGACCAUAGGCUUUUUGGUAACCUAUAUUUUCUAGGCCCAAAGCAGGGAAUGAGAUGGCAGGGAAAUUCAGGGUAAACUCCAAAUUUACAUAAAGUUAUAGAAGAAUAUAGAUCAUGAGUAGUGGCUAGCACCUUCCUGACUUCCAGAAAAUGGUGGUGCCGAUAUUGAACAACAGUUUGGAGAAAAUGUAAAAUGUUUACAUUUACAUUUACAGUUUAGUCUUUGAACAACAGUUUGGAGAAAAUGUAAAAUGAAAAUUUGUUAACGAACUUGUUUUUAAAAAGCACCUAGACUCCAUAUAAGAGUACUUGUCCUAUGUUAUUUUCAUAAACUACAUUUGUGAUUGUUUUGGUGAGUCUUUUACUUUGAAUCCCAUUUGCAUAAAUUUGUUAAUAGGGAGAUCAUAGAAUCACUGAUUAAUUGCAUCAUACAGAGUUGUAUGAUGUGGAUUAGAUUUUGCCUAAUCUAACCUCUCUAUCUUAGAGAUGGAGGGGGGUGGAGUGGGAGUUGGCAACAGGUGGUUACAGAGCCUUCAAAUUCCUUGAUGAGUAGCUCCUGCUGUCUGAAAUCUCCUUCUGGUCAAGGGGACAACUGACAUUCUACUUGGGUGACAGGAUUUCUGAGUUUGAAGCUGAGAAUGAUCCAAUGGAUGCCACUUCAGGGCAAAACGAGUAUCAAUAACCAGGAAGAUAAUAAAACUAAAGAAGCAACCCAAUGGCUUCUUCAGAGGCUGGCCCAGGUAAAGCAUACAGGAUGAAAUAUUAGGCUGUCAGAAUAGACUGGGUGUGGAAGGCAGGGCUUGGCCCUUCUCUUCCUGGGGUAGAACUGUAACUAGCUCCAGGCACUAUAACGGCAAGUCUGCAUACUCAGCCCGAAGUGCAGAAAGAGCCUGGGUGGUUCAGAGUCCAACAUAGACAACUGCAGAACAAAUACAGGUCAGUGGGGCUGGAGGUAGCUUUGUGGAGUUCCGCAAUAAUGGAUAUUCAGAAGAGUCUAUAGUAUUGUAAAACUUGUGCUUCUUGGUAGAGCCAGCUACUCUGAAUCUAUUCUGAAUCUAUAAGAAUCCUCCACUCCCAUUCUCCACCAUUUCCAACAUCCACGGAUACAGGAAGAUUUAAUAAUCACUCGCACCAAGACUUACAGAGGCUUUUCUUAAACAGAGUUCUAACAAUAAUUUCAGCUUUGACCUUAGUUUAUCCAGCAGGGUCUCUCCUUCAUGCUUUCUCUAAGAACGUGAUGUCAUAAAAGAGACACUGCUGCUGGCUUUGGCUAUUCUUUGGCAAUCAGAGUGAAUUAUCUAUAUUUCCUGGGAUUUCAAAUGAGAAGGCUGUCAGAACAAGCUUCUGGGUAAGCAGCAUUUUGCCAUGAAGAGAAAGAGGACGCAUUGGAAGGAAGGAUGCAUUUUAAC
rnacentral:lncRNA from 1 species